AUACGGAGGAUCCGAGCGUUAUCCGGAUUUAUUGGGUUUAAAGGGUGCGCGGGCGGCCAUUUAAGUCAGCGGUUAAAUCGUGGGGCUCAACCCCAUUCUGCCGUUGAUACUGGGUGGCUUGAUUGCGGUCGAGGUUGGCGGAAUUCGUUGUGUAGCGGUGAAAUGCAUAGAUAUGACGAAGAACACCGAUUGCGUAGGCAGCUGACCAGACCGCAAAUGACGCUCAUGCACGAAAGUGCGGGGAUCGAACAGGAUUAGAUACCCUGGUAGUCCGCACAGUAAACGAUGAAUACUUGUUUUCAGCGAUAUAAUGUCGGAGGCAAAGCGAAAGCGAUAAGUAUUCCACCUGGGGAGUACGCCGGCAACGGUGAAACUUAAAGGAAUUGGCGGGG
rnacentral:rRNA from 1 species